rnacentral:rRNA from 1 species
AUUGAACGCUGGCGGCAGGCUUAACACAUGCAAGUCGAGCGGAGAUGAGGUGCUUGCACCUUAUCUUAGCGGCGGACGGGUGAGCAAUGCUUAGGAAUCUGCCUAUUAGUGGGGGACAACAUUCCGAAAGGAAUGCUAAUACCGCAUACGUCCUACGGGAGAAAGCAGGGGAUCUUCGGACCUUGCGCUAAUAGAUGAGCCUAAGUCGGAUUAGCUAGUUGGUGGGGUAAAGGCCUACAAAGGCGACGAUCUGUAGCGGGUCUGAGAGGAUGAUCCGCCACACUGGGCCUGAGACACGGCCCAGACUCCUACGGGAGGCAGCAGUGGGGAAUAUUGGACAAUGGGGGGAACCCUGAUCCAGCCAUGCCGCGUGUGUGAAGAAGGCCUUAUGGUUGUAAAGCACUUUAAGCGAGGAGGAGGCUACUGAGACUAAUACUCUUGGAUAGUGGACGUUACUCGCAGAAUAAGCACCGGCUAACUCUGUGCCAGCCGCCGCGGUAA